rnacentral:rRNA from 1 species
GUGCCAGCCGCCGCGGUAAUACGUAGGCAGCGAGCGUUGUUCGGAGUUACUGGGCGUAAAGCGUGCGUAGGCGGUUCCGCAAGUUCGGUGUGAAAUAUCCCGGCUCAACUGGGAGGGUGCGCCGAAAACUGCGGAGCUUGAGCGUGGGAGAGGGAAGCGGAAUUCCUGGUGUAGCGGUGAAAUGCGUAGAUAUCAGGAGGAACACCGGUGGUGUAGACGGCUUCCUGGACCACUGCUGACGCUGAGGCACGAAAGCGUGGGGAGCAAACAGGAUUAGAUACCCUGGUAGUCCACGCCCUAAACGAUGCACACUUGGUGUGGGCACUUCAGUGUGUCCGUGCCGGAGCUAACGCGUUAAGUGUGCCGCCUGGGGAGUACGGUCGCAAGGCUGAAACUUAAAUGAAUUGGCGGGG